rnacentral:piRNA from 1 species
UCAAAAAAACAGUGUAAAACA